CACAGUACAUUUUACUACCCACUCAAAACCUAGGGUUUGGAAGUUCUCUCGCCCCUGCGCAAUGAGAGGCGGCGCCGGGUCUCUCUACUACUAAAUCGCUUUUCGCGUUCUAAAUUUUGUGAAUUAGGGUUUUGAUCAUACUUCGCCCCCUUAAUCCAUAACAGAUAUGCGGAAGAUAUGGGGAGGUGCAGUAAAGCUCAGCGGUCACCUCUCAACUGUUACAUCCAUGCAAGAAGACCUUUUCUGACACUUGGGCAGCAAUUUGCGAAUGGAAAUAAGAAGAAGAAGAAAGAGAAGCAUUGAACCGACAGAAACGAAUGCGAUAAUCUCAAAAGUUCUGCAGAAAUGUUAUACUGGUCAGGGAUGUAAUCGUCAUCGGUGUCUGCAGGUUGCAUUUAAGACAUUGUUAAGUUUAACCAUAUCAUUUGCGGCUUGUAUAUUUCAGAUUUAAGGCAUUCAAUUGUUACUUUGGUUUAGUAGUAAAAAGUUUUUUUCUUUUUUUGGCUUUCU